rnacentral:rRNA from 1 species
ACGCACGCUGGCGGCGUGCUUAACACAUGCAAGUCGAACGGAAAGGCCCUGCUUUUGUGGGGUGCUCGAGUGGCGAACGGGUGAGUAACACGUGAGUAACCUGCCCUUGACUUUGGGAUAACUUCAGGAAACUGGGGCUAAUACCGGAUAGGAGCUCCUGCUGCAUGGUGGGGGUUGGAAAGUUUCGGCGGUUGGGGAUGGACUCGCGGCUUAUCAGCUUGUUGGUGGGGUAGUGGCUUACCAAGGCUUUGACGGGUAGCCGGCCUGAGAGGGUGACCGGCCACAUUGGGACUGAGAUACGGCCCAGACUCCUACGGGAGGCAGCAGUGGGGAAUAUUGCACAAUGGGCGGAAGCCUGAUGCAGCAACGCCGCGUGCGGGAUGACGGCCUUCGGGUGGUAAACCGCUUUCGCCUGUGACGAAGCGUGAGUGACGGUAAUGGGGAAAGAAGCACCGGCUAACUACGU